rnacentral:misc_RNA from 1 species
CAUUCAUUGCGUGCUUGAUAAGGGG